rnacentral:misc_RNA from 1 species
AGAAAAUUAAAAGAUAUUAAUAAUUGGUAGUAGAUUUGUCAAGUAUCAACAACACCAAGUCCAUAGCUAAGAAAAUUUGGAUGGACAAAAGAAAAGGAAAGAAAAGAAAAUUUGAGGGAGAAAAGGAGAAGUCCUGAUAACGUUUCGCAGAGAGUGCAGUCAAUAACUAACAAAGGCAAAAGAAGAGAUUCCUUGAGAGACAGAUAGAGGGAUACAUAUAUAUCCUGAGAAGAUAGAAAGGGAUGAUGGGGCUUUCAGUUUGUCCAGAUUCUGUAAACGUUUUCUUAGCAACCAAACAAACACGACUUUGCUGCACAUGGCUUCUUCUAUAGAAUCUUGCUUUCGUCUUCGUGGUACACGUAAAUGACCUCACUCUUUG